AAGAGGAAGAGGAAGAGGAAGAGGAAGAGGAAGAAGAAGAAGAAAGAAGAAGGAAAAUCGAUUGUAGAGUUUCACCGAAGCUGGAUCUUGGUAUUUGAGCCCGGAAUUAUGAUCAGUUCGUCGAGGUCUUCGAUUUGAGGGUUUGGAAGGAGUGUUGAUGAAGAUCUAUAGUAUUUUGAGGUUCUUGAGCAAAAGAAAUAAAAUUUGAGGUUUCAUUAGUAUUCUUGAGAAAGAGGUUACACUCAAUAUACGCGUACCUACUCAUCGGAUCUUUUUUGUACCAGGUACAAACAUCGUGUACAUAUACA